rnacentral:lncRNA from 1 species
AUGGAUUUAAACCGACUUAAUACCACCCGAUCCACAUGAAUUAACGGUGAAACGAACAAGCCCUUAAACUGAUUUCAAAAGCAGGAACACAGUAGUUUUCUUUCUUAGAGAAUGAUUUACAAUAAUAUAAAACAUAUAUACGGUAGCAUCGAUGUUUUAAAUAGCUAAUUUCUGAAAUUGCCUUUUACAGCUGUGAAAACUGUGAUUUGAAACCUUGAUUAGCAUCAGUACCAGUAUAUCAGCCAUCCGUCCUUAUUAGGUUUCCCUGUGUAAUUUCAGGCACCAUGACUUCUCAGGCUCCUGUAAUGACUUCCUGAGUCCUGAACUAACCUAAGGAUACCGAGGCUGUACGUGGCACUGGCACUCCAGAAUCCAGAUGGCAAGAACUUGGCAGUGAAUCCAAUUGAUUCUAACAUUUUUGUUAUAUGAUACUGUUAGCUGCUCUCACUAGGAUGAAUGUUCAAACUGUACAUAGCACUGGCUCUAUAAUAUGAUCUUUUUAUUUCCUGAUUUGCGCCAGAACUGAUAUUUUGUGGCAGAGGACGCGUAUUGUUUAGCAUAUUGGUUUGUUUCAGACAAAGAUCAGACUAGUAUGCUGUAUGCCUUUAAAA